UUUAAAACUAUCAUGUUCAAUGGACUUUCACCUCUAUCCGUUAGACAAACAGGAAUGUAAAGUAGUUAUAGAGAGCUUUGGUCUUACUCUUGACAGACUACAAUAUGCAUGGCGAGAGAUAAGUCCUGUAAACAUUCAACACUUUAAUCUUCCGUUGUAUGAAAUUCAUGGACCAAAAACUUCUGUAUCAAUAAACUAUCAUGACCUUACAGCGUCGAAAUAUUCGGAUUUGGAGGUUACCAUAGAAUUUCACCGGUCUAUAGGAUACUAUAUGACAGAAGUGUUCAUUCCGGAUGUUCUCAUUGUCCUGUUGUCAUGGGUUACGUUCUGGUUACAUCCGGAGGCAGUUCCAGCACGUGUGUCGUUGGGUGCUGUAACUGUUCUGACGAUAUCCUCACAAGGAUCAGCUGCUAGAAGAUAUGCUCCAAAAGUCUCGUACAUUAAGGCCAUAGAUGUUUGGAGUUUAUCCCACAUUUUGUUCGUUUUUGGGGCAAUGGUUGAGUUCUCGGUUGUCAAUGUAUUAUCUAGGAAGAAACGACCCAUUAUUGAGUUUAAAUCAUCGAACAACAAAAAGAUAGAGACACAGGAUCAUCGUCCGUUUAUGAAAGAAGCAAAGCGGAUAGAUUUUAUAUCGAGAUUUGCAUUUCCAGUAGUGUAUAUUAUGUUCAAUAUCCUAUUCUGGAUUGUAACUGUGUACAUGGAAAACUGACCAUGUAUUUUUUAAUGAAACAAGGUUUUCGUAUCAAUGUCAAUGUGAAUAGAUUUUUAUACAAUACAUUUUUACAUAUAGACAAAGUGUAUAUAAUAAAACAUUGCGUAUCACUUACCUCAUUUCUGUAGUAAACACAAUACAAAUCACAAGGAAAUAUUAUUUAAGUGAGAUUUAUAUUAACAUGUUCACAUUUGUAUUGACAUUUUAAUGGUUAACUGUAGCUCAAAACCUUCGCAUGUCAUGAACAGCAACUUGAUAUAUUUAUAUAUAGCAAGUGUUUCUUAUGCAAUAAUUCGUAACUAAAAUCAUGCAUCUUUUACAUUAAU